GACAGAGGGUGCAAACGUUGUUCGGAAUUACUGGGCGUAAAGCGCGUGUAGGCGGCCCUGCAAGUCGGGUGUGAAAUCCCACGGCUCAACCGUGGAAGUGCAUUCGAAACUGCAGGGCUAGAGUCCUGGAGAGGAAGGUGGAAUGCUUGGUGUAGAGGUGAAAUUCGUAGAUAUCAAGCGGAACACCGGUGGCGAAGGCGGCCUUCUGGACAGUGACUGACGCUGAGACGCGAAAGCGUGGGGAGCGAACAGG
rnacentral:rRNA from 1 species